UUAAAUCAGUUAUCGUUUAUUUGAUAGUACCUUACUACAUGGAUAACCGUGGUAAUUCUAGAGCUAAUACAUGCUAAAAACCCCGACUUCGGAAGGGGUGUAUUUAUUAGAUAAAAAACCAAUGCCCUUCGGGGCUCCUUGGUGAAUCAUAAUAACUUAACGGAUCGCAUGGCCUUGCGCCGGCGACGGUUCAUUCAAAUUUCUGCCCUAUCAACUUUCGAUGGUAAGGUAUUGGCUUACCAUGGUUUCAACGGGUAACGGGGAAUUAGGGUUCGAUUCCGGAGAGGGAGCCUGAGAAACGGCUACCACAUCCAAGGAAGGCAGCAGGCGCGCAAAUUACCCAAUCCCGACACGGGGAGGUAGUGACAAUAAAUACUGAUACAGGGCUCUUUUGGGUCUUGUAAUCGGAAUGAGUACAAUUUAAACCCCUUAACGAGGAACAAUUGGAGGGCAAGUCUGGUGCCAGCAGCCGCGGUAAUUCCAGCUCCAAUAGCGUAUAUUAAAGUUGUUGCAGUUAAAAAGCUCG
rnacentral:rRNA from 1 species